UGGGGAAUAUUGGGCAAUGGGGGCAACCCUGACCCAGCGACGCCGCGUGGGGGAAGACGGCCUUCGGGUUGUAAACCUCUUUUGUACGGGAAGAAGGAAGUGACGGUACUGUACGAAUAAGUCCCGGCUAACUACGUGCCAGCAGCCGCGGUAAUACGUAGGGGACGAGCGUUGUCCGGAAUUACUGGGCGUAAAGGGCGCGCAGGCUGUGCUGCAAGUCAGCUGUUAAAUGUCUGGGCUUAACCCGGGCAUGCGGUUGAGACUGCGGUGCUGGAGUGCCGGAGAGGCAAGUGGAAUUCCCAGUGUAGCGGUGAAAUGCGUAGAUAUUGGGAAGAACACCUGUGGCGGAGGCGACUUGCUGGGCAGCAACUGACGCUGAGGCGCGAAAGCCAGGGGAGCAAACGG
rnacentral:rRNA from 1 species